GUAAUUGAGAGAUGCUCACUGCAUUGUGCAUAUAAAAUCUGUAAUUUUGGCCAACAUUCAGGUUUUGCCUGCAUGUUAACCAAAGCAAUCAAGGAAAACUUUUAUUCCAAGCUUGGUACGGAGGGUCAGUGAGAGCAGUUGAGUCUUGUCCUGACAACCUGUUUGGAGAGGCCCUCUUCAUGACCAGUCUCAGAUGUUGGGAGAGGCCCUCUUCAUGACCAGUCUCAGGUGUUGGAAGUGGCCCUCUUCAUGACCAGUCUCAGAUGUUGGGAGAGGCCCUCUACAUGACCAGUCUCAGGUGUUUGGAGAGGCCCUCUUCAUGACCAGUCUCAGGUGUUGGGAGAGGCCCUCUUCAUGACCAGUCUCAGGUGUUGGGAGAGGCCCUCUUCAUGACCAGUCUCAGGUGUUGGGAGAGGCCCUCUUCAUGACCAGUCUCAGGUGUUUGGAGAGGGCCUCUUCAUGACCAGUCUCAGGUGUUGGGAGAGGCCCUCUUCAUGACCAGUCUCAGGUGUUUGGAGAGGGCCUCUUCAUGACCAGUUUUAGGUGUUUGGAGAGGGCCUCUUCAUGACCAGUUUUAGGUGUUUGGGGAGGCCCUCCUCUUUACCAGUCUCAGGUGUUUGGAGAGGCUGUCUUCAUGACCAGUCUCAUGUGUUUGGACAGGCCCUCUUCAUGAUCAGUCUCAAGUGUUUGGUCAACUGGAGACUAGGCCUUGCCUAGUUGAACACCAUAUACACUUUUGAAUUCUGCUUUUAACUCAACCCCUUCAAAUCAGUAAGGUUUUGGAGACACAUUGGGCGCCGAAUAGGUGGCUUGCUUAGGGACAGAAUGAUUUGGUUACUGUUCAGAUUCUCUCAUUUGGUACAUAAGGUCCCUAUUUUCCCUCAAAAAAAAAGAAAAGAAUUAGUCUUAAAAAUCUGCAUGGUCAACCGUGAUGGAUUUUUCACAGUUUUGACUCUGGCACCAAAUGCUAAUCUGCACAAAACUUGAUAGACUGCAUCUACAGG
ensembl:lncRNA